rnacentral:lncRNA from 12 species
GGGGGGGGGGGGGGGGGGGGGGGGGGGGGGGGGGGCAAAAAAUCCCCAAAAACCCUCCAAAAAAAAAAAAUCCCCAAAAAUCACAAAAAAAAUCCCUAAAAUAAAAAAUAAUCCCCCCAAAAAAUCACAAAAAAAUCCCUAAAAUUAAAAAAAAAAAUCCCUAAAAUUCAAAAAAAUCCCCCAAAAAAUCCCCAAAAAUGACUGAAAACCCCCAAAAAAUAAAAAAAAAAUCCUAAAAAAUCCCCCCAAAUUCCCAGAAAAUCACAAAAAAUUUAAAAAAAAAAUCCCCAAAAAUCUCAAACUUACCCCGUGCAGGAGAGGGGAGGCGACAUCCCGAUGGUCCCACAGACCCCAAAAAGGUUUUUCCAGGUGCCAGGAUGGGAAUUCCCAGGGCUGCUCCGGGUUUUUGGGGUUUUGGGGGUUUUUGGGGUUUUUGGGGUUUUUGGGGUGAGGGCUCUGCGGGAUGUGGGAAUUCCCAAGGAUCCGGAUCUUCCCCAAGUUCUGCUCUGCAAGGGAUGGAAUGAGGAGUUCUGCCAGCUGCUGAUCCUCGGGGGUCACCCCAAAUCCUGAGUGAUCACCCCAAAUCCUGAGUGAUCACCCCAAAUCCUGAGUGAUCACCCCAAAUCCUGAUUGAUUACCCCAAAUCCUGAUUGAUUACCCCAAAUACUGAGUGAUCACCUCAAAUCCUGAUUGAUCACCCCAAAUCCUGAGUGAUCACCCCAAAUCCUGAGUGAUCACCUCAAAUACUGAUUGAUUAUCCCAAAAUCCUGAUUGAUCACCCCAAAUAUUGAGUGAUCACCCCAAAUCCUCAUGGAUCUCCCCAAAUCCUGUUUGAUCACCCCAAACUCUCAUGGAUCACCCCAAACUCUCAUGGGUCACCCCAAACUCUCAUGGAUCACUCCAAAUCCUCCUGAGUCACUCCAAACCCCUGUCCCUGUCCCUGUCCCUGUCCCUGUCCCCCAGACCCUCCUGGCUCUGUCCCCAUCCUGGUUCUGUCCCUGUCCCCAAGAUCCUCCAAGCUUUGUCCCCAUCCUGUGUCCCUGUCCCCAUCAACAUCCAGUCCCUGCCCCCAUCUCAUCUGUGUCCCCCAACACCGCCUUUCCCUGUCCCCCUGCUGUCCCUGUCCCUGUCCCUGUCCCCAUCCUGGCUCUGUCCCCAGCCCCUCCUGGCCCUGUUCUGUCCCUGUCCCCAAGAUCCUCCUGGCUUUGUCCCCAUCCUGUCCCUGUCCCCCUCCUGUCACUGU